UAUAGGGCAGUAUAGAGACAUGAGGCCACAUUGAAAAAGCAAAGCUUGUCAUCCUAUGGCCUUGGGUCAAGAAUAGAGAUAGUGCUGCUCAUGUCAGUUUCAACCUCCAGUGGCCAAGGGUUUGAUCUGAUGCUCUUUCAAGUUUUCACCAUAGCCUUUCUCAAGCUCAAUGGCCAAUAAUCCCACAGGAGGAGAUUUUAGGGCCCUCUCAAACUUCUGUUUUGCUAUCUCUCCCCAGCCUGCUUCCUCUGCAAAAGUCACCACUUUGCCUGUGCAUCUACCACCUCUUAGAGCCUUUGGAAUCAGCCACGAAUUGCAGUGCUGAUUCCUUCCAUGACCACAUAUUGUUUACAGGAAAACUCUUCUUCGUUAUGCCUUGCCAGUCAGAGUGACGGUUUCAUCCGCAACCUGGACCAGGUUCGGGAAUAUUCUACACAUAAAUUUUCAGAUCCAGUUUUGACUAUUGUUAUGGGCUUAGUUGGAUGCCCCCAGAUUCCUACGUUGACGUCCUAACACCCAGCAUCUCAGAAUGUGGCAGUAUUCAGAGAUGGGAUUUUUAAAGAGGUGAUAAAGGGAAAACGAGCUCACUGGGGGUGGGCACCAAGCCAACAGGACUGGUGUGCUUACAGGAAGAGGAGAUUAAGACACAGACAAUACAGACUGAAGGACAAUCGUUUGAAGACAGAGUGGAGAACACAGCUAUCUGCAAGCCAAGGAGAGACGUUUGAAGAAUCGAACCCUAUUGCCACCUUGAUCUUGGACUUCCAGCGCCCAGAACCAUGAGAAAAUAAAUUGUAUGUUGCCUAAGCCA